UCUGGAACUAAUAAAAUGUAACAAGGUUUCCGUAGGUGAACCUGCGGAAGGAUCAUUACAGUAUUCUUUUGCCAGCGCUUAACUGCGCGGCGAAAAACCUUACACACAGUGUCUUUUUGAUACAGAACUCUUGCUUUGGUUUGGCCUAGAGAUAGGUUGGGCCAGAGGUUUAACAAAACACAAUUUAAUUAUUUUUACAGUUAGUCAAAUUUUGAAUUAAUCUUCAAAACUUUCAACAACGGAUCUCUUGGUUCUCGCAUCGAUGAAGAACGCAGCGAAAUGCGAUAAGUAAUAUGAAUUGCAGAUUUUCGUGAAUCAUCGAAUCUUUGAACGCACAUUGCGCCCUCUGGUAUUCCAGAGGGCAUGCCUGUUUGAGCGUCAUUUCUCUCUCAAACCCCCGGGUUUGGUAUUGAGUGAUACUCUUAGUCGGACUAGGCGUUUGCUUGAAAAGUAUUGGCAUGGGUAGUACUAGAUAGUGCUGUCGACCUCUCAAUGUAUUAGGUUUAUCCAACUCGUUGAAUGGUGUGGCGGGAUAUUUCUGGUAUUGUUGGCCCGGCCUUACAACAACCAAACAAGUUGACCUCAAAGCAGAUAAAAAACAACCACUCG
rnacentral:rRNA from 1 species